CUCUCUCCCCCCCCCCCCCAUUCACACGCCUACUCUCUCUCUCUCUUACCUCUAUCUCUUUUCCCUUUCUACCACCAUGGAUAACCAUUCUCAAAGCUUCCAAGAUCAUUUCUAUACCAAGAAACUCCAUCAAAUCAAGUCUUAAACAUCUAUAUUCCUUGAAUCAAGAACUAGUUUGGAGGGAUUUUCAAGCUUGAAGCAAAAGAGAAGAUUUUUAUCCUUCCUUAAAUAAUUGAGAUAAGCGAGGAGGAGGAAGAUCGGUCUGGUGCUGGCGGGGACUUUUUGGACGACGUUGUUUCUUUUACCGUAUUCCUACGUCAUACGGUAGCCUUUUGAGGUUGGAUGUGUAUAUUUUGAACUUAUUCAGGAAAUACACUCUCGGCUAUAUGUCUUCAUACAUAUAGUCUGAUCACGUUUUGCUGCGAGACUCUGUAAAUUAUAAACCUUUGUAAAUUUUUAACUAUGCCCGCUUUGUAAACUUUGUCGAGAAUCUCUGUACUUUUGAACUUAUGAAGCCGAUAAUAUUUGUGUCUUUGAGAUGA